AAUUUUAGUCACUCACGUAACCCAAGCAAAAAGACGCCAAUCUAAACGAAAACUGUGGUAUUAUUAAUUUUGGCCUGCCCUGCACGAACUCACUUUCUUAGUACAGAUGUGUGUUGUCAGUACAGGAAUCUGAAGGUGCGAUCAGGUGCACCUGCAGGCUGUGAUGGUCGUAAGCUAAAGCGGUGCAACUGAAUCUUAUAAGCUUCGUCUACGCCUAGAGGAUAAGUUGCGUUUAUUUCUCCGCUGAUAGAACGAACCCAGCUAUUACUCUGCCCAUACGCCAACCCAAAACCGCGUGAGAAAUAAGAUGGGCGUAGCUCGAAAUGGAUCCUGCGCGCGGACUUUGGAACAAUAACUCAUCAAUUCACAACGGGACGCUGUUUAAACGCAAGCUGCUUGAUUUUCUGCACACGUCCACACGUGGAGACCAACGACAGACUCGAUCCCAGCAGUCCUAGGAGUAGUAGCACUGGAUUGGCAGGAAUGUCGAGAACAAGUUGUGCACUUGAGCUAAUAAGGCGUCACAGCAUUCAGUCAGGCUGUUUGAAACUAAUUAUGGACAUCAGUAGUAAAGUUGAUGCGCGAUUGGCUGGAAUAGUGCGUUGUUUUCAGCGAUUUAUAUUUCUGCAAUGGCUUUUUUUCGUCUUUGCUUGUGGAUUAGAGCUUGUGGUGUAGACUGGAUCAACCCUAGUUUGGCAGAGUUCAUCACUAUAGGCUACUAAGAGUUCAUCACUGUACUUAAAGGAAAAUGAGACUGUGGGAGAAAUCAGUGAUAAAACACAACCCAAAUGACCACAGAUUAGGAGUCGGAAGACGAGCAGAGAGUGGGAGUAGCGAUAGUGGUGGAGGAGUGAACCCGGAGCAGGUGAACACAGCUGCGGACCGCCAUGGGCUCUCUUCCAUCGGUCCCGACUCUCCGUCUUCAGGUCUCUGAGAGACGGCAGGGGCCAGCCAGGGAGCGUCGGAGUGGGCAGGAGAGGCAGCUCGCUUUCCCCGCCGGCUACCGACUCCUCAGCAGCGAGGAGGGAGAGAAAUCAAUACUGAGGAGAGAUGCUGCCAGGGGUCGCCCAACGCUGCCUCCAGCCAUGGAGCCAUGGGAGCUCGUGUGUUCAGCUUUCUCUCUCUCAGCCCAUUCUCAGUCAACUAGCAUCAGCUAAAGAGAGGGCCAACAGCCUUGACGCUCUUCAUGCAACGCCGAGUGUGUGUGUAUGCGUGUGUGGUUCUGCCAGAGGGCCUUUCCAGGCUCAGCAUCACUUGAUAAAACUUUGCCUGCUGGAGAAUGAGUAGAAAAAGAAUGUCAAAGGUCUUUUUUUCCCCCGUCUUUGAUUCCUUUUUCGCCAUGAGUGCACAUUCCCCCUGACUGUUGUAAUGAGUGCUUGACGGAGAUCUCUUUUACGCUAAAUCAAGAGGCCUUCUUUUUUUAGUGGUCCUCCUCCUAAGCAUGCACAAAGUGCUCUACACCUGAUGGGCCAGGAUGAGAGAGCAGUAUGAAUCCUUUUUCACCUUUUCCACAAUGGUUUUUACAUGAUUUUCUUUUUUUUUUUUUGAUGGCAGUCACUAUUCGAGUGGCCUGGAGAAGGACUUGGCUUUGAUUUGUAGGUGAAGGGCUUGGCACUUACUCUCCCUGGGCACUUCGCAACGGCUUUCACCCUUGACCGUGGCACUUGAUGGGUAUUAAUAAUGUUGCGGACCAAUGGAGGACACAGUGAGAUGGAGCUUGUGCACAAGUUCUACAAAAGUUGCUCCUGCAUGACCAGAGAUCCAAUUGGAUGUGGACAACUGAAAAUGCAACUUUAACAAGAUGCUAACAUUUUUAUAACUGGAUAGUUCCAGUAUUCUUGGAUGCCCAACGAGAACCAGUUAAAUUUGGAUCAAAUGUGAUAUGCCUGAAUUUUCACAUCUGUGCUGCAUCUACAGAGCAAGAGUGGAAAAGAGCUGCUGGCCCUUUAAAACAGGUGUUGUGACACAUAAGAAAAACAGAAGAAAUCUCAAGACAACAAGCGGAUCAAGAGGAGAUGUUUUUCCUUUCUUCUAUUUUUUUUUUUUUUUGUCACUCUACGUAAAAAAACACUGUAGUUGUUGUUUUUGUUGGAUCUGUCUUCAAGUAAGUAAUUGUGACCAACAACGGUAAGUUUUUUAAAUCUACAGUACUACAAAGUAUAUUAUAGAUAUUAGAGCUUGAUAGUGCAGAUCUUUAAGUAGAUGUCUGGAUAGAUGCUGUAUUCAUGAUAGGCACAUAUUAGGAUUUAAAUUUAUGAUAAAAACAUUUCUCAAUAGAUUUUCAGAUAAAUGUUACUGCAUAAAGAUGUUUUUGCACGGUUUAAGGCAAAGUUGUUAUCCCUACUUUUUUAUUAACUUUAAAACUUCUCAAGUGAUGUUUAAAAGAGCAAGGAAAUUUUCCCAGUACUUCCUGUUGUAUAUUUUUUUCAGUGUAAAUCUUUUAGUUUGGCUGAAAUAAAUACAGGUUUUACAUUUUAAAAAAGAUUUUAAUCAGGGUCAAUAUUAGAAACGUAAUGGCUACAUAAUGGUUGGGCUACAGAACAAACCAAUGUUGUCCAAUGAGCUGUAACAACAGAGCUCUUGAGGUUUUUUGGGGGACAACUUAAUUGAUUUACGCUCAAUCCACUUCAAUUUGUAAUAACAAGUUAACUUAAUCAAUUUAUGUUGGGACUACUUGAAGGAAUUGUGUGGAACCCAGCCUUUUUUAGCGUAGUUAACCUAAUUAUUACCAUAGAUAAGUCUUUAAAUUGCACUUU